rnacentral:rRNA from 1 species
GAUGAACGCUGGCGGCGUGCCUAAUACAUGCAAGUCGAGCGAACAGACGAGGAGCUUGCUCCUCUGACGUUAGCGGCGGACGGGUGAGUAACACGUGGAUAACCUACCUAUAAGACUGGGAUAACUUCGGGAAACCGGAGCUAAUACCGGAUAAUAUAUUGAACCGCAUGGUUCAAUAGUGAAAGACGGUUUUGCUGUCACUUAUAGAUGGAUCCGCGCCGCAUUAGCUAGUUGGUAAGGUAACGGCUUACCAAGGCAACGAUGCGUAGCCGACCUGAGAGAGUGAUCGGCCACACUGGAACUGAGACACGGUCCAGACGCCUACGGGAGGCAGCAGUAGGGAAUCUUCCGCAAUGGGCGAAAGCCUGACGGAGCAACGCCGCGUGAAUGAUGAAGGUCUUCGGAUCGUAAAACUCUGUUAUUAGGGAAGAACAAAUGUGUAAGUAACUAUGCACGUCUUGACGGUACCUAAUCAGAAAGCCACGGCUAACUACGUG